GGGCCUAUGUGGAGAAAUACCUGCUGGAGAAAUCUCGUCUGGUGUACCAGGAGCACAAUGAGAGGAACUACCAUGUUUUCUACUACCUGUUGGCCGGAGCCAGUGAAGAGGAGAGGAAGUCCUUCCACCUGCUCAAACCUGAGGAAUACCACUACCUCAACCAGAUGACAAAGAAAUCGCACAAACUCCACUGGGACAAUUACUAUGAGAGCGACCUGGUCAGUAUCCUGUGGAUGACGACUCGUCUGUGUGUGUCGUUGGGUGUGUCGUUGUACUCUGGGUUUUUGGUGCCAGUCUUGUUCUCGUUCUCUCUCCGCUGUGCAC